AUACUUACCUGGCUAGGGAGGACCCAUAAUUAAGAAGGUGAUUUUCCUUUACCCUACAGAUGUGCUGAACCUGUGAUUUCCACUAGUAGGAGAAACUUAACUGCAUAAUUCGUGGUAGUAGAGUACUGUAAUCAUGCUCUCCUCUU
rnacentral:snRNA from 1 species